UGUCACGACCCGGAACUCCCAUCGAGCCCGUGACAACCGCCGCGACGUCUCAAUUUACAUUCAUUACCCGGAAUGUCAACCGAGACCCCGUAAGGCUUUAAUAUCAGCUUCUCAUUUCCCCUGUGGGUAACUGUUUCCAAAUACCACAUUUUAAAAGAUUUUAAACUGUUUCCAACUUAAACAAAUGAAAUAAUAAUUUCCGUCUCACAGGG
rnacentral:lncRNA from 1 species